GAUGAACGCUGGCCGCGUGCCUAAUAUAUGCAAGUCGAGCGAACGGACGAGAAGCUUGCUUCUCUGAUGUUAGCGGCGGACGUGUGAGUAACACGUGGAUAACCUACCUAUAAGACUGGGAUAACUUCGGGACACCGGAGCUAAAACCGGAUGAUAUUUUGAACCGCAUGGUUCAAACGUGAAAGACGGUCUUGCUGUCACUUAUCGCUCGAUCCGCGCUGCAUUAGCUAGUUGGUAAGGUAACGGCUUACCAAGGCAACGAUGCAUAGCCGACCUGAGAGGGUGAACGGCCAGACUAGAACUGAGACACGGUGCCGAGUCCUACGGGAGGCAGCAGUAGGGAAUCUUCCGCAAUGGGCGAAAGCCUGACGGAGCAACGCCGCGUGAGUGAUGAAGGUCUUCGGAGCGUAAAACUCUGUUAUGAGGGAAGAACAUAUGUGUAAGUAACUGUGCACAUCUUGACGGUACCUAAUCAGAAAGCCACGGCUAACUACGAG
rnacentral:rRNA from 1 species